rnacentral:lncRNA from 1 species
ACUGCGCGCCAGGCCAGGUUCCUGAGAGCAGACAGCGCGGGCUGGGAGCGCCGGCAAGGGCGGCCCUCGCGCACCUGGCUGCCAGCCCGCAGGGGGCUCGCACGCAGACCUGCCCUUGCCACCUCAGCGCUCGGGUGCGGGCUGGGGGCGGUGGAGCCACGAAAGGUGGUGCCGAGAGCGGAGCGCAGGACAGCGCAGGAGCCCCGGCGCAUCGCGGCGCGCACAGACCCAGUGAGAAACUGAAGACCAGAGAGGGUGAGUGGUUUACUCAGUUUGGCACAACUGACCCCAACCUAGCCCUCCAUGAGGACUGAGCGCAUGAGAGAUCCUGAGCCACAGCCGCCCAGCCCUGCUCCUCUCGAAUUUCUGACCUACAGGAACUGCAAGAAGUAAUGAAAGACUGCUGUUUAAAGCCACUGCAUUUUGGCAUGAUUUGUUAUGCAGUCGUAGAUAACCAGAAAACAUCGGAUUUACAUUUUAAGGUAAACUUUUUAUUGAAACAUCACAUACACACAGAGACGUCCACCAAUUGGCUCGAUGAGCUUUCUCAAAGGAAACACAUUCUCUGAGCAGUGUGCACAUCCAGACACAUCAUCUCCAUCCUCCAGAAGCCCCCUCCUGUUAUCGCCACUCACAGGUCACCCGUCUCCUGACUUGCAGCCACAGAGAUAGUCCUGCCUAAUUCUGAACGUGGUACAAACGGAAUCAUACAGAAUGGGCUUGGCUUCUUUCACUCUGGGCUGUGUUUAUGAGCAUCACCCAGAUUGCUGCAUGGAAGCCAUCGUUUGUUCAUUUUCACCACCAUAGAGUAUUCUACUGUUGAUGGGACAUAGGCUAUUUAUUCCUUCUACUGUUGAGGGACGCAUAGUUAUUUCCAGCUGGAGACUGGUAUAUGUCUCUUGGCUACCUUCUGCAUGCAUUUCUGUUGGAGGUUGUUUCAGGUAUCUCUUAACGUAUAACAGACCACCCUCAAAUUGAGUCCUUGAAACAAUUACCAUUUUCUUCUUUCUCAGGAUUUGGUGCAUGGGAUGGGCUCAGUUGGGCAGUUCUUCUGUUCCAUGUGAUGGUACUGGGGCUGCAGUCAUUCAGAGGCUCAACUGGGCUGAACGUGCAAGGUUUCUUGCUCACGUGGCCAUCAGUGGUGCUGGCUGCUGUUGGGAGCUCCACUGGACUUCUGUCCAGAGCUCCUCAGCUCACCUCUCUGUAUCCUUGCCCUGUGGCUCAGGCUUCUAACAAUACAGAGGCUGGAUUCCAAGAGGAGGGAAUUAGAAGCGUUCAGCCUUCUUAAGACCAGGAUUCAGAUGUCCCAGACUGUCACUGUAUUGACCGGAGCAUUUACAGGCCAGCCUAGUAAUUUUUCCAUCUUGGGCAGGAAUGGGUGGCAUAUGCUGGGGGUAGGGGUAGCAUUGUUGGGGAUCAUCUUUGGAGCUGUGUGCCAAGGAGUAAAUUGCUGGGCUGCUUUCUACCUGAGGAAGUCCACUAUGCUUGCUUGUGGAGAGUGGAUUGUGUGCUCAGAGUCCACAAGGAUUUAAGAAUCCGAGCCCUGCUGCCCUUGCCUCAGCCUGUGCAUUAGGGCCCGGUGGUGAGAGCACUGAGCCAUUGUGAAUCAAGGCCCCUCCCUCGACCUGCAUACUAACAGGCCAGAAGAGCUUGCUUGAUUUUGGUCCUAGGCUCCUGCCUGUGGGUUGGAUUCCAGGGGCACUCUCUCCUCCACAAACCAGACGGUGGCAGGUACAUCCCCUCAAUGGAAAUUGCCCACACUUCACCCUAAAGACAGAUCCUGCUGUUCAGCAACAAUGUGAGUGGCCCACACAUUUGUCCAGCAUGAAACCGUUUGCAGAUUCCUUUCCAGUACACAGUCCCGUCAGCCGGUCACUUCACGAUGACAGCUCCUCGAAGCACCUUUUGGUUUGCAGUUGUGUAGCUUAGAAGUAGGAGCCUGCACGGCUUCAGGAAUUCACAGAAGGAGCACACUUUGUGCUUGGAGAAGUUAAUUAUAGGAAUAUCCUGCAACCUGCUGCUCUGAGCCUGUGCACCUGGGGUGUUUCCCUGGAGGUCCUGUGUAUGAGGAUACUCAUCAGCAUGGGGUUUGGGAAGCCUAGCAGUGGAGACAACCUAGGUGGUCCUCUCCAGGGGAGUAGGUAAGAGCCCUACAGCAGUGAAAAGCAUUGAAGGAAAAGUGUGUUCAGCAGUGCUCUUAAUCUGAUCAGAGCAGCCUGAACACAUUCUAAACACAGGGCAUUUAGAACUAGGGUAGAGGCACUAGAGCACCAUAGAUACAAACUCAGAUUCUGAAGGUAAAUGCCCAGGUUCAAAUCCAAGCCCCCUCGCCAAGUGACCAUGACUCCCCCGAGUCACCUGACCUCUGUGUUUACAUCCUCAAAGUUAAGUAGUCAGGAAAGGGGGCUUGGGGCUUGCCACAUGGAUGGUUGCCACUCUCCUUUGCAAAGUGUAGUCCCCAAAAACAGGUGGAAGAGGGAAGGGUCCAAUUAGAAGGCCGAGUACCAGCUGCCAUGAAUAUGCCAGAGCUGCUGGCUAGUGAUAAAUAACUGAAACCCAGGGGGACAGCAGAGCUUGGGUGACCAUACAUUCUAGGAAAGAAAACAUGCCUGUUGUCCUGGCUUUUUAUCCAGCUUAGACAAAGAUGGGCAAAGAAAAUAAUUUAGAAAAUGGUAGAGAUGGGCACAGAGAAAGGGCACGGAGGGAGGCACAAACAGAAGGCCAAGUGAUGGUGGAGGCAGACAUUGGAGAAAUGCCUUUACAAGCCGGGGAAUGCCAAGGAUGCUGGCAACCCUGGGAGUGGGAAGAACCUGGAACACACCCUCCGUCAGAGUCUCCAGAAGGAACUGGCCCUUCAUCACCUUUCGGACUUCUGGCCUCCAGAACUGGGCAAGAAAAUGUUUCUGCUGUUGGAGGCCAUCCAGCUGGUGGUCAUUUGUUAUGGUUGCCACAGAAAACGAAUAUAGAUUUAGACAUCUAAUUUGCAUAUAUAGAUAUGCAUGUGUAUUUGUUAAAUAAAAGAUAAAGCAUGACA